rnacentral:rRNA from 1 species
AUUGAACGCUGGCGGCAUGCUUUACACAUGCAAGUCGAACGGUAACAGGGAGCUUGCUCCGCUGACGAGUGGCGAACGGGUGAGUAAUGCGUCGGAACGUGCCGAGUAGUGGGGGAUAACGCAUCGAAAGGUGUGCUAAUACCGCAUACGUACUGAGGUAGAAAGUGGGGGACCUUCGGGCCUCACGCUAUUCGAGCGGCCGACGUCUGAUUAGCUAGUUGGUGAGGUAAAGGCUCACCAAGGCGACGAUCAGUAGCGGGUCUGAGAGGAUGAUCCGCCACACUGGGACUGAGACACGGCCCAGACUCCUACGGGAGGCAGCAGUGGGGAAUUUUGGACAAUGGGCGCAAGCCUGAUCCAGCCAUGCCGCGUGUCUGAAGAAGGCCCUCGGGUUGUAAAGGACUUUUGUCCGGGAGCAAAUGCCUGGUGUUAAUAGCAUCGGGAGCUGAGAGUGCCGGAAGAAUAAGCACCGGCUAACUACGUGCCAGCCGCCGCGGUAAAAC